CCCUUAGAUGUUCUGGGCUGCACACGUGCUACACUGGCAGGUUCAGCGAGCUUCAUGCCCUGAUCUGAAAGGAAUGGGAAAUCUUUUCGAAACCUGCCGUGCUUGGGAUAGAUGUUUGCAAUUAUUCAUCUUCAACGAGGAUUGCCUUGUAAGCGCACGUCAUCAGCGUGCAUUGAAUACGACCCUGUAUUCUGUACACACCGCCCGUCGCUCCUACCGAUUGAAGUUUUCGGUGAGUUGACAGGAGGAUUUUUUUGAAACUGGUUCGCCAGUGGAUUUUAGAUCCAAAUGCCAACGAAUCGAUGGCUUUAGAGGAAGGAGAAGUCGUAACA
rnacentral:rRNA from 1 species